AGCGAACGCUGGCGGCAGGCCUAACACAUGCAAGUCGAACGAAGACUUCGGACUUAGUGGCGGACGGGUGAGUAACACGUGGGAACGUACCUUUUGGUUCGGAACAACUCAGGGAAACUUGAGCUAAUACCGGAUGAGCCCUUAGGGGGAAAGAUUUAUCGCCGAAAGAGCGGCCCGCGUUAGAUUAGCUAGUUGGUGAGGUAAAGGCUCACCAAGGCUACGAUCUAUAGCUGGUCUGAGAGGAUGAUCAGCCACACUGGGAGUGAGACACGGCCCAGACUCCUACGGGAGGCAGCAGUGGGGAAUCUUGCGCAAUGGGCGAAAGCCUGACGCAGCCAGGCCGCGUGAAGGAUGAAGGUCUUAGGAUUGUAAAAUUCUUUUACCAGGGACGAUAAUGACGGUACCUGGAGAAAAAGCCCCGGCUAACUUCGUGCCAGCCGCCGCGGUAAGAC
rnacentral:rRNA from 1 species